rnacentral:rRNA from 1 species
CCAAUAGCGUAUAUUAAAGUUGUUGCAGUUAAAAAGCUCGUAGUUGAAUUUCGGGAUCAAGGAAUCGGUCAUGCCUCGGUAUGUACUGGUUUUAUUGGUUCUCACCUUCUAAAGAACCAUAAUGUCAUUCAUUUGAUGUUAUGGGGAAUUAGGACUGUUACCUUGAAAAAAUUAGAGUGUUUAAAGCAGGCUCGCGCUUGAAUACAUUAGCAUGGAAUAAUGAAAUAGGACGUUUGAUUCUAUUUUGUUGGUUUCUAGGAUCGACGUAAUGAUUAAUAGGGAUAGUUGGGGGCAUUAGUAUUCAAUUGUCAGAGGUGAAAUUCUUGGAUUUAUUGAAGACUAACUACUGCGAAAGCAUUUGCCAAGGAUGUUUUCAUUAAUCAAGAACGAAAGUUAGGGGAUCGAAGACGAUCAGAUACCGUCGUAGUCUUAACCAUAAACUAUGCCGACUAGGGAUCGGAUGAUGUUAAUUUUUUAAUGACUCAUUCGGCGCCUUACG